CCCGUUGUAAAAACCCUAUUCCCAAAUUUUUGAAAUGAAUAGCUUCUUUCUUCCCCUUUCAUUAUCUUCAACUUCACUAUAAACCUAGUAAAAUCGACUGCAUUCCGUCAAGUUAUUGGGAAGCAUAAAUUGUUCGUGGGCAUAGUUUCAGAAGCUUGAAGAUUUAGGAUUCCAAAAUAUUCAACUACAAAUUUGCGAAAAUUCUAGAAUUCCUCUCUUUACUAUUAUGAAGGUGGAAGUGAACGCAAUAGGAAUUUGGGCUUUUAAAGCAAUUCCCAAUUUCGAAAGAGAUUUGGUAUGCUAGGAAAUGUGCAAGCAGCUUGGGGAGAAAUACUUUGCACAUUUUUGGAAUCAUUAAAUAUUGAGGUACGUCGUAUGCUAAAUCCUAUAGAUGAUGAACUGCUAGGGCCAUUUGGUUGGAAUCCAGACAUUAUGAUGAUGAAACGGAUCCUAAGUUGGAUAAUGUCGCAUUUAAGGAUAAUGGUAGAAAAAAUCUAAAAGUGAUGAUGCACCACCAAGAAAAAGUCACCCACAAUGUUCUAACAAUGUUCUAAAACAUUGGAUCGACCAUUUGUGUCUAGCCAUCAACAUUCAUCUAAAAUAAUUGGACGACCACCACCUUCUUUUUAUGACUAUAUCACUCACAUAAUAAAACAAGAAAUAAAAGGAGUUGAGGAGAGGAUGCGAGGUGAGAUGUCAGAAUGCUUUGAUCGAGUGGAAAGGAAAAUUGAUUUGUUUCUCCAAUUGGCCGGUAGAGGGAAAGUUUAGUAAGAAAGAAGUGAAUUUGAUGACGGCGUAGUACAGGCAAUCAGAAGAAGAGGAUUUGUGCUAAAUCCUUCAUCUGCCAUAGUUGUGUACCAACAAUGUCCUUUAACCUAGACUGGAAAGAAUUUUCGGACUGAAAAAGCUCAACAAGAUGAGGUAACUAAGAAGGCGAUUGGGACGAAAAAGGAUUUAGGCCCCGUUUGGUAGGGAUUUUUUGCCCCAAAAAAUUGAUUUUUUGACCGUUAUUUUACUAUUCAAGCCGU